GGUCUCGUAGUUCAGGUGGUUAGAGCUUUGUCUCUACUGAAGCCUUCCUCUUACAGUUGUGGGUUCGAAUCCCACCAAGGUUA
rnacentral:tRNA from 1 species